GACGAACGCUGGCGGCGUGCUUAACACAUGCAAGUCGAACGGAAAGGCCCUGCUUUUGUGGGGUGCUCGAGUGGCGAACGGGUGAGUAACACGUGAGUAACCUGCCCUUGACUUUGGGAUAACUUCAGGAAACUGGGGCUAAUACCGGAUAGGAGCUCCUGCUGCAUGGUGGGGGUUGGAAAGUUUCGGCGGUUGGGGAUGGACUCGCGGCUUAUCAGCUUGUUGGUGGGGUAGUGGCUUACCAAGGCUUUGACGGGUAGCCGGCCUGAGAGGGUGACCGGCCACAUUGGGACUGAGAGACGGCCCAGACUCCUACGGGAGGCAGAAGUGGGGAGUAUUGCACAAUGGGCGGAAGCCUGAUGCAGCAACGCCGCGUGCGGGAUGACGGCCUUCGGGUUGUAAACCGCUUUCGCCUGUGACGAAGCGUGAGUGACGGUAAUGGGUAAAGAAGCACCGGCUAACUACGUG
rnacentral:rRNA from 1 species